CAACACAUUAACUUUGGUAUCAGCCUUUCUACUCAUUAGUAUUUUUAUUUCCAUCUCUAAGUAUUUGGAGAAUAUACUGAUUGCAAAGUUAAAAAAAAAAAAAAUAACUGCUUAGAGCAGGGGCCACAUGCCAGUAAUUAUAGUGACUUGGGAGGUCGGUGCAGGAAAAUCGCAAGUUCAAGGCCAGCCUGGGCAAUGUAGUGAGACUCUGUCUCAAAAUAAAAAGGACUGGGGGCCAGCUGUGGUGGACACACCUGUAAUCCCAGUGGCUUGGGAGGCUGAGGCAGGAGAAUCGAGAGUUCAAAGCUAGCCUCAGCAAUGGUGAGGCACUAAGCAACUCAGUGGGACCCUAUCUCUAAAUAAAAUACAAAAUAGGGCUAGGAAUAUGGCACAAUGGUUGAUGCUCCUGAGUUCAAUCCCUGUUACCAAAAAAAAAAAAAAAGGACUGGGGAUGUAACUUAGUAGUAGAACACACCUGGUUUCAAUCCCCAGUACCAGAAAAAAAGAAAGAAAGAAAACCCCACAACCUGCUAACCUGCUAACUGUAUUUAUUUGUAGAUGUGAAUGAAGAUGUUCUCUAUCAUGUACUUAAAACUAAAUACAGAAAUAAAUUAGAUGCCAUGGUAGAUAUAUAAAUGGUUCAGAUUUGAAAUUUUUAUGUCCAUGAAAAUGAUCUCAUUGAUUAAAAUUUUAACAAAAAAUAGAGCUGUAAUAAACAUUUUAUGUACUUGAAUUCCCACAAUACAAUAUUGUAUUUAAGACCUUCUAAAGAAAGAAAACCCAAUGAAAUAGUAUAUUGACUAUUAGUUGUAUGCUGUGUUUAUAAGAAGCCUACUCGGACUUUUUUGGUGGGGUCCGUGAAUUUUAAUGUUUCCCAAGGGAAACUGCUUCUUCUAGAAGCUGACUGUUUCAAAAAGUCCAGUAUGUCAUCACCAGAGUCUUUUCUGUUUAGUAGGGCUGUCUGGUGGAAGGAUAUCAUGCUGUCCUUUGCCAGUAGUUCUUUGAUUUAUGGUAAUAGCUUGAUCCAGUCAGUCAUCACAGGAUAUUUUAGUCCUACUUGCUCAGCAAAAGCAAAGAGUUAAUGUUUUGGAGUUUAAUCUGAAAAGAUUGUGUAGCAAAAAAGGAACAGUUUAAAUAGGGCUUGACGGUUACCUUAAUGUGUAUCCAAGGUUCAAAAUAUGUUUUUAAUUUGAAAACCACAUCAGAAACUUAGGAACCCAAUGCUUCAACUACAGCUUUGCACCCUACUUCAGUAGUAAUGUUGAAAUAGUCUCCACAUUUGAUGGUUGCAUAAAGGUUUGUGUAUGAUAGUGUGCUACCUGCCUCUUAUAAAUUGAAAGCAAAGGAACAGUAUGUAGUCAUCUUCCCUAAAGAACAGAAGUAAUUGGCUUGUUUUCCUGGCUUCCUGAAGCCUGUAAUACAUGUUUAUGUGUAUGAAGCCCCAUCUGUUAUCUUGCCUGGAAAUGGAAAAUAUGAGUAAUUUGGGGACUCAGAGUCUUUCAUCCUUUCCCUUCAUCCCCUCUCAUGUUCAGGAUCUUCCCUGGAGUCUCAGGAAAUACAUUGUCCCUGCAGUUAGUCCUCUACCU
rnacentral:lncRNA from 1 species